GCCCAGACUCCUACGGGAGGCAGCAGUAGGGAAUUUUGCGCAAUGGGGGAAACCCUGACGCAGCAACACCGCGUGAAUGUUAAGCCCUUCGGGGUGUAAAGUUCUGUCAAUAGGGACGAAUUUUGACUGUACCUAUAAAGGAAGCACCGGCUAACUCCGUGCCAGCAGCCGCGGUAAUACGGGGGGUGCAAGCGUUGUCCGGAAUCAUUGGGCGUAAAGAGUUCGUAGGCGGCACGUAAAGUCUGGUGUUAAAGGCAGAGGCUCAACUUCUGUACGGCACUGGAUACUUGCGAGCUAGAAUGCGGUAGAGGUAAAGGGAAUUCCUGGUGUAGCGGUGAAAUGCUUAGAUAUCAGGAGGAACAUCGGUGGCGUAAGCGCUUUACUGGGCCGUAAUUGACGCUGAGGAACGAAAGCCAGGGUAGCAAAUGGGAUUAGAUACCCGACUA
rnacentral:rRNA from 1 species